CAGGUCACUCCUACGGGAGGCAGCAGUGGGGAAUUUUGGACAAUGGGGGCAACCCUGAUCCAGCCAUGCCGCGUGUGUGAAGAAGGCCUUCGGGUUGUAAAGCACUUUCGGCCGGAACGAAAUCGCGCGAUCUAACAAGUCGCGUGGAUGACGGUACCGGAAGAAGAAGCACCGGCUAACUACGUGCCAGCAGCCGCGGUAAUACGUAGGGUGCGAGCGUUAAUCGGAAUUACUGGGCGUAAAGUGUGCGCAGGCGGCUGAGCAAGUCGAGUGUGAAAGCCCCGGGCUUAACUUGGGAAUUGCGCUCGAAACUACUUGGCUGGAGUGUGGCAGAGGAGGGUGGAAUUCCACGUGUAGCGGUGAAAUGCGUAGAGAUGUGGAGGAACACCAAUGGCGAAGGCAGCCCUCUGGGCCAACACUGACGCUCAUGCACGAAAGCGUGGGGAGCAAACAGGAUUAGAUACCCUGGUAGUCCACGCCCUAAACGAUGACGACUAGUUGUUGGAGGAGUUAAAUCCUUUAGUAACGCAGCUAACGCGCGAAGUCGUCCGCCUGGGGAGUACGGUCGCAAGAUUAAAACUCAAAGGAAUUGACG
rnacentral:rRNA from 1 species